rnacentral:SRP_RNA from 1 species
GGUCGGGUCCUGUGCGACGAGUGGCUGCGAACCGAGUCAGGGUCGGAAGACAGCAGCUCUCACCAGAACCACUCGGGUGCCGCAGACAACCUGGCCGUC